rnacentral:tRNA from 1 species
GGGUUGGAGCUCAGUGGUAAAGUGCUCGCCUAGCACAUGAGAGACUCUGAGUUCGAUCCACAGCAUCACA